rnacentral:lncRNA from 1 species
AUUAAUUUCAUCGUACUAAUCACAUCCUUACAGCAUAACUCGAACCCUUUCAUAGAGAAGAUCGAAUAAAAGAGGACACAGAUGCACAUGCCAUAUGUAAAGCAUAGAAAUUAAAGAUUAAUUAAACAGAAUUGCAUUAGAAUGAUCAUUUGUAGACUAUUGAAAGCCCAAAAAAAGAAGAAGUAGGGAAAUUUAUAAAGAUCUUAUAAUUACCACUUAAAUUGUUGGCACCAACGUACAACGUUUGAAGCUUCGUCAAGUUCCCAAUUUCUCUCGGCAAAAAUCCACUGAAAUUGUUGUUGUACACAGAAAUAAACUCAAGCUGCGAACACUUCUCCAAACUCGAUGGUAUUUCCCCAUACAUCUCGUUGUAAGAUAUACGAAGCCUCUUGAGUCUAUGCAGAUUGUGUCUGCACAUAUCAAGAGGUAGACUACUAGACAAACUAUUAUUCCUUAGAUCCAAAACUUCUAGAAACGACAAGUUGAAGAUAGAUGGGGGAAUGGGGCCAUGAAAAGAGUUCUCGUUCGCUGCUAAAGAAACGAGAGAAGAAAGAUUCCCGAUUUCUAGUGGGAGGGUUCCGACAAGACCCAUGUACGAUAUAUUCAGCUGAGUAACCCUAUUGUAACGUGAAUCACAAGUAACUCCGAUCCAACUGCAAACACUGGCUUCAGUGCUCCAAUUUUGGGUCAAUAUAUUUUGUGGGUCUGAAGUGAUUUGAGAUUUUAAGGUAAGAAGUGAAGAACGAUCUGAGUUGACAUCUGAGAUGGCUGAGCUAUAAUUCAUAAACCAUUGAAGUAGCAAAAGUGAUGUAAGAAGGGAAAAUUGGGAAGACCUAUCCAUUGAGGCUUGAUUUCAAAAGUAGUAAUGUGCGAGUAGACAAGAUUUAGAGCUACAAAUAUAUACUAUAAAUGGGAACGCAAUUUCGUGUGAAAUUGAGAAAUUAAGUUUGAAGAAAAGUCAUGAUAACUGAUUAAUGACAAUUGACGCCACUGGCUCUCUCGUCAAAUAGACCAAGACUUUGCAAGUCAAGUCAAGUCAAUGCUCCGUCUCACAAUUUAACAUAUCCCACCGUUUCUUACUCUUAAUCUGUUACUAUAAUUUUUAAUUAUUUUUUAAUUUUAAUUUAUUAUGUUAUAAUAUAAUAGAAAGAUAAUUAACAAUGGUUCAAAGUUAGGAUUUAUAGUUUCACUUUUAAAUUUAUUUGAAUUAAUAAUGUAUUAUUUGGGUUAUUAAUUCAAAGUUAGGAUAUAUAAUUUUUUUAACUUUAAUUUUUAAUGAUAAAUAUUAAUUGGAGUUUAUUAUAUAAUAAUAUCUUUUAAUUUUAUAACAAAUAAUUAUAAAAUAGAGAAAUUUAAAAUGGAACAUGGUGGGACACACAAAAUUGUGGGAUAGAUGAUCUCAUCCGUUUAAAACCUUACUAUCAACAAAUAAAAGUUUGGCUAAAUCUUUUAUCUAGACCUAUUAUAAAAGAGUUAUAUUAAUAAUAUUAGUUUAUCUAUUAAUUAUAUUAUUAUUAUUAUUAUUAUUAUUAUUAUUAUUAUCAUUAUUUUACCAAAAUAUCACUCCGAUCGUAAUUUUAAAUAAGUUUGAUCUCUUCAAAAUUAUUAAGUAUUUAUGUAGAUAUUGCCUUUCAAAACAAAUCAACAAACAAACCCCUCACAAAAUUUCAAUUUCUUUCUGAAUUAGACCGUAGCUCGGUUGGUAAGACGCUUCCCCUCCAACCAAUAGGUCAGAGGUUCGAGUUAUCAAGGAGGGAAAAUGGGGAACCAUUUUUUUUUUAACCUUUUAAAAAGAGAGAGGGAGAGACCAUAUAUAAGAAAUUUGUAAGGUUUGGUGCAGCAAUUAAAAUUUGUAGGGAUGAUAAUGGAUUCUGGACCCGGUCCAAAUCCGUUUUUCUGGAUCUGGAUCUCAUUUUUUUUGACCCGACGAAUCUGGGCCGGAUCUGAAUCUCAAUUUAUAAAAUGGAUCUGAAUCUGGAUCUUCAAAUUUUAGAUCCACAUCCGACCCAAAUCUGACCCGUGGAUCCGUUUAUUUUAAUAUAUCUUAUUUAUUUUUUAUAUUUAUUUUUACUAAUAAUAUUAAAUAUAUUAAAAAUAAAAAAUUAAAAAUAAUACACAAAUUAGAAUUACAAACCUUAAUUUCUACUUUCUCCAACUCCCUCGGUCCCUCUCCAGUUCGCCGCCCUCACCCUGCCCAUCUCCCUCCUUCUAGUUCGCCGCCCUCACCCUGCCUAUCUCCCUCUCAAUCCAGUUCGCCGGUGAAGGCGGGGACAACACAUUCCCAACUCCCUUUGGCAUUCCGAAUAUCUCUUUUACAAGACUUGUAGCAUUGAGAUUUGUUUAUUUUGAAUUUUUGAUGACUUAUUUUUCUAUGUUGAGAUUUUGUAUUGUAUGAAUGUGUUUUGUGCAAUAUUUUUUAUGAUGGAAACUAGAUGUUCAUGAUUUUGUGACUUUUUUUUUAAUUUAAUUUAAAAACAGUAGAUCCAUCGAUUUAGACCCGUGGACCCGCGGAACUGACGGAUCUGGAUCUGGAUCCCAAAUUUCAGAUCGGAUCUGUUAAUAUAAAACGGAUCUGGAUCUGGUAUUGAUCCGGUCCAGAUCCGACCCGUUGCCAUCCCUACUUGCAGGUACACUUGACUUUAAAUCGUCUACUCAUUGUUUUAAUUGUCACCAAAAUGUAAGUAGAUGUUACGAUGAAGCGUUAUUAUUCUUUUGACAAAAUGCAAAAGCGCACAAGAUACUACUUGCUCAUAUAUUUGGUAGACUGAGUCCAACUCCAAAAAUGAACCUAAAAUUAAUCCCUUUCUUUUAUGUAUCUGAACAAGAUCUAAAUGGUCGUAAUUGGCAUAUAAAUACAAUCAAUUAUAUACAUAGGAAUAGGAUUGAUACUUUGCAUAAAAUCAAAAUUUUGGCGAAUUGUUGUGCAUUCCUAUAGUACAGUAUUUGAGUAACAUUUUUUUAACCGAAAUAUGGGCAUUUACUUUCAGUGAUAGAAUAGAUUGAUAAAUCAUAGAACUAAGCAUUGAGGAUAAGAUCUGGUCAUUCCAUCAAAUUAAAAUGAUGGAUUAGCUUGCACUACAAAAAAAACUAAUUCUAGCGACGAAAAUUCCGUCUCAAAAUCCCGAACGUUCCGUCUCAAAAUAAUGGUUACGACAGAAUUGCGACUGAACGACGACGCAGACACUAAAAACGGGGUCGCUAAAUUUUCCAGCGACAGAUUUUAUUUUCCGUCUCAAACCUUACGACGGAAUAGCCACGGAAAUUCCGUCAUCUCACCACCUGGGGGUCGUCUGCAUUGACCGAAUUUUGAGAUGGAAACAGAGACGGAAAUUCCGUCUCUAGUUGAGACGGAAACAGUUCCGUCGUUAGAUUUUCCGGCAGUGCUUUCCGGCGCCGGCCGCCGUCCUUUUGAGACGGAAUUUCCUUCAUUAGCUUUUUUCCGUUUUUUGAAUUUUUUUUAUUUUGAGAAGGAAUUUCCGUCGCUAAAAUUGCCAGUUUUUUUUUUUGUUAUUUACCUCUAUUCUAAUACAUUUUAUCAUGCAACAUAAUCGAAUAAUAAUUAAAAUAUUUUCAUAAUAGAUAAACUUUAAAUAGUAACUAGCAGUCAACGAUAAUCAACAAAGUAUCUAACAAUCCACAUUCUAGUGUUAAGUUAGCAUCUAACUCAAUAGAUUCAAGUUCCUAAAACAAACAUAAUGGGUUGUAGUUAUUUUUAGAGUUACGUUGUAAUUCAAAUAAUUUCAACAAUAAUAUGUUCAUAAUGUACAAACCAGUCAUCUUUUGACUGCAAUUGCAAAUACAGUACAACAGAAUAGUAGGAAUUCUAUUAUACAUGUACAAAAUAGUAUGUAGAUAUAUAUAUGACUCACACAUAUACAAACAAAACUAGACAUAAUUCCAUACUCUUAAUUAUAGCACUACACUCUCUCUAUUGCUUCAAUCAAAAAAGAAUUCCACCAACCAUCUUGGCCUUUCAUAUCGAAUAAUUUGACACCCCAUAAACACUCCAAUUAUGAAUCCACAUCCAUACCCCAACACAACUGCUUGCCACCCAAAUCCAUUCACAAAACCAUCAUCAUCUUCUUCUUCUUGGGGCAACAAUGGCUUCGCAUCACUCCCUUCACAUUUCUUCGUCAAUGGAGGCCCACACAAUCCUACAUUCCCCACGUACGACUCAUUCUCGAACGUGAAAAACUGAGCAGAUCGUGGAAUUUGCCCCUCAAGAUUAUUCAUCGAAAGGUUCAAUUUCGCGAGAAAUGUCAACCUGGUGAGCUCACUCGGAAUUUCUCCAUCCAAUUUGUUCGAUGACAAGUCCAACGACUCGAGCAAACUCAUCCCCCCAAGAGAUGAAGGUAUAUGCCCCAUGAGGGCAUUAUGAGAAAGAUUCAAGAAUCUAAGAGAGUUAAGAUUCCCCACCAAAGCCGGAAUCUUCCCAGAGAAUCUAUUCGAGGAUAAGUCAAUAGUUGUAAAGGUCGUCAGCAGCCGCUGCAAUAACUGAUCCAAACCUUUCAAAGUGAGCGUCAACUCUAUAAACCUUAGAAACAAAUUUGCUCCAUCAUCGGUCUGAUUUUCCUUGGCAUCGAUCAUACCUCGAAAAUUCUUGAAAUAUCUAUCAGGCAACGAGCCAACAAACGCGUUCCCUGAUACAUCCAAGACUUGCAAUUUGGGAAACGGUUGCGUGGUCGUUGAAGCCACCGACAUAUUACCAUCAAACUUGUUAGACCUCAAGACGAGGAUACGGAGUUGAGGGAGCGUUUCCAUCCAAAGGGGAAACGCGCCUCGUAUUUCAUUAUCACCAAUGUCGAUCCCUUGCAAACCCUGGCAGUUGACUAGGGUUUGAGGCAGUGUGCCUUCCAAUUUGUUGCCAUUCAGAUUGAUUGAUUGAAGACUGCACCCUUUUGUAAAUGUUGAUGGAAUGAGGCCACUGAGGUUAUUUGCAUUCAAAUGAAAGAUUAACAGAGAUGAGCUCAAGUUUCCAAGACAAUCUGGAAGAGAUCCUUCCAAAUUGUUGUCUGAUAAAUAGAGAACUUGGAGGGAUCUCAAGUUGCAAAUGGAUGAAGGAAGCACUCCACUUAAGUUGUUGGAACGUAGUGCUAUGUUAACCAGCCCUGAUUGGCUCGUAAAGGUGGAUGGUAUUGGACCUGAAAGUUUAUGAAAUCAAAUUCAUUAAAUUAAAUUAGUUUAUUUGGGCAGUUGAUUUUUGUAUGAUCUACGAUUGUCAUAAAUGGAUGCAUUAAUUAUUGUAAGAUAUGAAAUUCACUAUGGGGGUGUUCGGUUUAUAGGAUAAGAUAUGAUUAGUCAUGUAAUAUCAUGCUCGGUUGAAUAGAUAGGGCCCGGUAUAUAAUCUCGAGACUAUGCUAUUAGUCAUGGAUUAUCAUGAGUCUUAGCCUACCCCCUAUGACAAAACUAAUCUCAACUAAUCUCGGGACAAUUCAGUCUUGAGCAAUCGAAUGAUCGUUUAAUUUGAGUAAUCAGGCAUGAUUGAUACUUGAUAGAAUAAGUGUUUGGUUCACAUGAUUCGACCCAUUCUCUCAUCCACCAAAUCAAACGCCACCAAGAUGUAUAUUAUUAUAAAUCACAAAAAGGUGUCAAUUAAAAAUUUCCAUUUCUUAUCUCAUUUUUUUAUGAUAAAUUUGCAAACUCAAUAGAACACUCCCUAAAGAGAUAACAGUGAAAUAGGCAACAUUUACAUGAACAACAUUAUUAAAGAGCAGAAUGAGACAACAAAUCAUACCGCUGAAAUUAUUGAAGUGAAGCCACAGAUCAUGAAUGGUUGUGUUACCAAUUUCUCUAGGCAACGAUCCACGAAGUCGGUUGCUUCCGAUAUUCAGUUGCAAUAAGCUUUUCAGAAGAAAAAUUUCUUUCGGAAUUUCACCUGUACAUGAAAAUUAUAAAUCCCCACAGAUAAAUUUAGUUUCUAUAUAGCUAUAUUUUUUAUUUUUAUCAAAUAAAAUAACAUUAAUUGCACGUGCAUGACAAGUUUUUUCCGCUAGUAUACUAAAAAUGUUACAAUUGGCCGGUGAGGUGAUGAGAUAGAAAAUAAUCUGCAGCAUAUUAACUAAAAAGAUUUGUCACUAGUAUUCUAAUGAGCAUAAAAAAAUUAUUAUGAUGGUAUGAUGAAUUCUAAUGAAGAUUAUUACCAAAAUUUGAAGCUUAAUAUAUCAAUUAUUAAGUUGUAAAAAAAUGGAAAUUAAAUAUUAAAAAUAAUUAUAUACUCUAAUUGGAAUGAUCAACACUAAUUUCAAAAUUAAACUAAAAUACAAAACGGAAGCUACAAUAAAGGAUCCAUGCUCCUCACGACAGCUAAAAUGGGAAAGCAAAUUUAUGAAGCAGCAAAAUUAAGAUAAAGAGAGAAAAUAUCAUACCACUUAAUUUAUUAUCAUUAAGCAAUAAGUAGGUAAGAGAUGUCAAAUUUCCAAAUUCUUUUGGCAAUGAUCCAUUGAUUAGAUAGUUGUAUUCCAACUGCAGCUCCACUAAAUUAACAAGACGACCCAUCUCUUCUGGAAUAGGACCUGCAAAAUUAUGAAAUCUUGAAAACUCAAUUUACAUAUCAAGUAAUGACAUUUGAUGCAUACAAAGAUUUGUUCGUAAAAUCUAAGGAUACCACAAAGAGAUUGGUUAAAAAAUAUAGUUUGACAAAAAAAAGGGGGGGUGAGAAUCAUACCACUUAAAGCAUUGUUGUGAAUGAAAAUAUCAAAUGUGUUUGUCAAGUUCCCAAUUUCUCUUGGCACUGAACCACUAAUUCUAUUGCAACACAUGCUCAAUCGCUCGAAAUUUGUAAGAUCACCAAUCUCUUUUGGAAUUUCACCUAUAAGGUUAGGAUGAAAUCAAAAACUUAGCUCAGUUUAUUCAUCAUCAAGUAUAAUUAAAGGGCGUGCGCGCAAUACAACUUUGAACACAAUAUUUAUUACUCCCUCCGUCCCGGCCAAGACGCUACAUUUACUUUUCGGCACGGAAUUUAAGGAGUUGUAGAUUAAUGUUUUAAGUGUGUAAUAAUUAAGUGAUAAAGUAGGAGAGAGAAAGUAAUAAAGUGAUAAAGUAAGAAAGAGAAUGUAAUAAAGUGAUAAAGUAGGAGAGAGAAGGUAAUAAAAAAAUACUUAAUUAAUGUUAAUUAAGUGUUUAAAAUUCCUUAUUUUUGCCAAAUAUAGAAAUGUAGCAUCUUCGUUGGGACGGCCCGAAAAGGAAUAUGUAGCAUCUUGGGCGGGACGGAGGGAGUAUAUAUGAUCAUAACUAUAUUUAGUAUAAUUAGGCAAGCAAUGUGAAAUUUGAAUAAACAAUUAACUAUUAAAAUGAAUGGAUCGAGUGAUCAUGGAAAAACUCAUACCAAUUAGAUUAUUGCUUUCAAGGCCUAUUCUUCGAAGGGCUGUCAUGUUUCCAAUAUCUUUCGACAGUGAUCCAUUCAAUUUAUUUGACGCAAAGUCAAAAUAUUCCAAAGAAGUCAAGCCGUAAAUGGUUGCCGGUAUAGGGCCUGAGAACUCGUUGAACCUCAUGCCCAACCCUAGUAAAUUAGAAAGAGAACCGAUCUCUUUUGGAAUAUUACCUGUCAGUUUGUAAAAAGUUUGCAUAUGAAAUCAUAAAUAUAAAGAGGCAGAUAUAGAAAUUAAAUAAUUAAUGACAUUAGGAUGAUUUCAAUAUAUACCAAUCAAACCAAAAACAAAUGUGAGAUAAGAUCUUACCACUUAACUUGUUGGUACCAAGGUCCAACAAUUGAAGCAUUGUCAAGUUUCCAAUUUCUCUUGGCAGGUGUCCAUUGAAGCUGUUGAAACUCAUGUCCAAACCUUGUAAAUUAGUAAGGCCGCCGAUCUCUUUUGGAAUAUUACCUGUUAAUAAAGUUGCAUGAAAUCAAAAUCCAAUUAUAUAUGUUAAUACAUAUAUAUAUAUGAAAUUAUUUCUUAAGAGAAUAAAGUAAUAUGAAUUUAUAUAAUAAAAUUAACGUAAUUGUCAAGUUAUUUUUAGAGUAUUUAACAUCAUGUAUAUCUUCCAUGUCAGCAGAAUCAGACGCCAUGUCAACUUCAAUUUCAUCUGAGUUGACUUUCAUGAGAAAUUUUGAAAAGUGCUAAAGUUUAUGUAUUUUGAACAGAUUUUUAUUUGUUUCCUAUUCUAAAACAUAGAAUUGAUCACUAUUAUAUUCAUAUACUAGAUCUCACUAAUUUUAUUGUAUGCCAAUCACAUCCUUACAACAUCAAUCGAACCUUUCAUAGAGAGGAAAAAUAUAUAAAAAGAGGAUGUACAGAUGCACAUGCCAUAUAUUCUCUCCGUCCUAACGAAGAUGCUACAUAUUCUUUUUUGGAUCGACGUUCCAACGAAGAUGCUACAUUUCUAAAUAUGAAAAAAAAAGGGGAUUUUAAUUACAAAAUUACAACUAAUUAAUCACUCUUUUAUUACCUUCUCUCUCAUACUUCAUCACUUUUAUACUACACACUUAAAACACUAAUCUACAACUCCUUAAAUCCCGUACCGAAAAGAAAUGUAUCAUCUUGGCUGGGACGGAGGGACUAUAUGUAAAGCAUAGAAAUCAAAAAAUUAAAUAGUAGACCAAUGAAAGCCCAAAAAAAAAAUAAAGAAAUUAAGUAGGGAAAUUUAUAAAGAUCUUACCACUUAAAUUGUUGGCACCAAGGUUCAACACUUGAAGGUUCGUCAAGUUCCCAAUUUCUUUCGGCACAAAUCCAGUGAAAUUGUUGGCGCCAAGGUUCAACACUUGAAGCUUCGUCAAGUUCCCAAUCUCUCUCGGCACAAUUCCACUGAAAUUGUUGUUGUACAAAGACAGAAACUCAAGCUGUGAACACUGCCCCAAACUCGAUGGUAUUUCCCCAUACAACUUGUUGUAAGAGAAUCGAAGAAUCUUGAGUCUAUCAAGAUUGUGUUUGCACAUAUCAAGAUCGGGUAGGUUGCCAGACAAACUAUUGUUCCUCAAAUUCAAGAUUUCUAUAGAUGACAAGUUUAAGAGAGAUGGGGGAAUUGGGCCAUGAAAAGAGUUGUAGUUCACAUCUAAAGAAACCAGAGAAGAAAGAUUCCCGAUUUCUGGCGGGAGGGUUCCGACAAGACCCAUGUACGAUAUGUUCAACUGCGUAACCCUAUUGUAACGUGAAUCACAAGUAACUCCGAUCCAACUGCAAACACUGGCUUCAGUGCUCCAAUUUUGGGUCAAUACAUUUUGAGGAUCUAAAGUGAUUUGGGAUUUUAAGGCGAGAAGUGAAGAACGAUCGGUGUUGA